rnacentral:rRNA from 1 species
UACGUAGGGUGCAAGCGUUGUCCGGAAUCACUGGGCGUAAAGCGCGCGCAGGCGGUCAUCUACGUCUGGGGUGAAAGCCCGGAGCUCAACUCCGGGAUUGCCUUGGAUACGGGAUGACUUGAGGAUCGGAGAGGCAAGGGGAAUUCCACGUGUAGCGGUGAAAUGCGUAGAGAUGUGGAGGAACACCUGUGGCGAAGGCGCCUUGCUGGCCGAUUUCUGACGCUGAGGCGCGAAAGCGUGGGGAGCAAACAGG